AUACGGAGGGUGCAAGCGUUAAUCGGAAUUACUGGGCGUAAAGCGCACGCAGGCGGUUUGUUAAGUCAGAUGUGAAAUCCCCGAGCUUAACUUGGGAACUGCAUUUGAAACUGGCAAGCUAGAGUCUUGUAGAGGGGGGUAGAAUUCCAGGUGUAGCGGUGAAAUGCGUAGAGAUCUGGAGGAAUACCGGUGGCGAAGGCGGCCCCCUGGACAAAGACUGACGCUCAGGUGCGAAAGCGUGGGGAGCGAACAGGAUUAGAUACCCUGGUAGUCCACGCUGUAAACGAUGUCGACUUGGAGGUUGUGCCCUUGAGGCGUGGCUUCCGCAGCUAACGCAUUAAGCAUUCCGCCUGGGGAGUACGACCGCAAGGUUGAA
rnacentral:rRNA from 1 species